rnacentral:misc_RNA from 1 species
AAAAAGUACUUCCUGUAUAAUUCGAAGUGUGCACGAAAUUUUUGAAAAAACUUUAAUAAGCUUUGUAUCGUACCAAUUAUUUUAAGAUGGAUGUUGACGAGGAAGGAGGAAAGAGAAAAAUGCCGAAAGUGGCCAAGGUUAAGAAUAAAAUGCCUGCUCCAGUGCAGAUUACAGCAGAACAGCUUUUAAGAGAAGCAAAGGAGAGAGAAUUGGAGUUAGUUCCCCCACCUCCUAAGCAGAAGAUAUCAGAUCCUGAUGAGCUCAAAGAUUAUCAAAGAAGAAAAAGGAAGGCUUUUGAGGACAAUAUUCGCAAAAAUAGAAACCUGAUGACUAAUUGGAUAAAGUAUGCGCAGUGGGAAGAAUCACAAAAAGAAAUUCAGAGGGCACGGUCAGUUUUUGAGAGAGGUUUGGAUGUGGAUCACAGAAACAUAACAGUGUGGCUCAAAUAUGCAGAAAUGGAGAUGAGAGCUCGACAAUUGAACCAUGCCAGAAAUAUAUGGGAUAGAGCCAUUACAAUUCUUCCCAGGGCUAAUCAGUUCUGGUACAAGUAUACUUACAUGGAGGAAAUGCUGGGACACAUUGCAGGUGCCCGACAAGUGUUUGAGCGCUGGAUGGAGUGGGAGCCUGAGGAACAAGCCUGGCAUUCGUAUAUUAACUUUGAGCUGCGUUACAAGGAAUUAGACAGAGCAAGGAUGAUAUAUGAGAGAUUUGUUCUUAUCCAUCCGGAGGUAAAGAACUGGAUUAAGUAUGCUCGGUUUGAGGAGAAGCAUGGCUACAUUAAUAGUGCAAGAAGAGUUUACGAGAGGGCCGUUGAGUUCUUUGGAGAGGACAACAUGGAUGAAAAACUCAUCAUUGCUUUUGCCAGGUUUGAGGAGGGACAAAGAGAGCAUGAGAGGGCGAGAGUGAUAUACAAAUAUGCCUUGGAUGUCUUACCCAAAGAUCAGUGUCAGGAAAUCUACAAAGCUUACACAGUUCAUGAAAAAAAAUUCGGAAGCAGGGCAGCCAUCGAAGAUGUUAUUGUUAGCAAAAGGAGGUUUCAAUAUGAAGAGGAAGUGAAAGCAAAUCCAUUGAAUUAUGAUGCCUGGUUUGACUACAUAAGAUUGUUAGAGGCCGAUGCUAACACUGAACAAGUGAGGGACACAUAUGAAAGGGCCAUUGCAAAUAUACCACCCUCAAAGGAAAAACGUCAUUGGCGUCGAUACAUAUACUUAUGGAUCAAUUACGCACUGUAUGAGGAGCUGGAGGCGGAGGAUAUGGAGAGGACCAGGGAUGUCUAUAAAGCCUGUCUGGACAUCAUUCCUCACAAAAACUUCACCUUUGCCAAAGUCUGGCUUUUAUUCGCUCAUUUUGAAGUCCGCCAGAAAAAUCUACAGGGUACAAGAAGAAUUCUGGUAUGAGAUUAUCUCCCUUCCCAUUAUCUUUCACAGGUCAUACAUUGUUUGAAUAAAGGGAAUACAAAGAAAUUCCAGGAUUAGAAUUUGAUAAGAUUUCUCAAUUAGAUUUUUCAAUACUUAGUGGUCAAUUACUGAAUUGUCUUUGCAUAAAGGGCACAGCUAUUGGGAAAUGUCCAAAGAACAAGCUCUACAGAGGUUACAUAGAGUUGGAGCUACAAUUACGAGAGUUUGAGAGAUGCAGGAUCCUGUAUGAAAAGUUCCUGGAGUUUGGACCAGAAAACUGUACUUCUUGGAUGAAGUAUGCAGAAUUGGAGACUAUUCUUGGAGACACGGAGAGAGCGGAAGCAAUAUAUGAGCUGGCCAUCAACCAACCCAAGCUAGACAUGCCUGAGGUGCUGUGGAAGGCGUACAUUGAUUUCCAGAUUGAGCAAGAGGAGUAUGACAAGACUCGCAAACUGUACAGAAGGCUGCUGGAACGAACUCAACAUGUCAAGGUAUGGAUAAGCUUUGCCAACUUUGAGCUGUCAAUUCAGAGUGAAAAUGGAGAGAAUGUGAUAAAUACCAGAAAGGUUUACAGUGAAGGGAACAAAUCUCUGAAGAACAUCAAUGAAAAGGAAGAGAGGCUGAUGUUACUGGAGUCCUGGCAGGAAAUGGAGAGAGACCAGGGCGAUGAGGAAUCUCAGGCGAAGGUUCAGAAACUGAUGCCACAGAAGGUGAAGAAGAGGAGGAAGAUCCAGACUGAGGACGGGUCUGAUGCUGGAUGGGAGGAAUACUAUGACUACAUUUUCCCAGACGAGGAGGCGGCUCAACCCAAUCUCAAACUUCUGGCCAUGGCCAAGAAAUGGAAACAAGUACAGGAAACAACCCCAACAGAAGAGGAAGAGGAAGUGGGCUGAACUUCCUGAUUGUUACUUCCUGUUCAGUUGUUAUUUGCAAUGUGAAAUAUACAUUCUCUGUAUAAAUGUCUUUCAGUAAGAAAUGACGAUUAGGACUGUGCUGGCCGUGGUAUAAAGUGGACAAUAGAGAGGAAUGGUGAUGUUGGACUGGUUGUUAAAUCCAGUAACUGUAAUAAAAUUAUGAGAACACUU